rnacentral:rRNA from 1 species
AAACCGUUGGAAGGGAAGCGAAUGGAGUUGGCAAAUCGCCUUGUCGGAUUCAGCCGUUUCAGUGUCGCGUCGUGCUCGGUCCCGAUCUUUUUAGACGAGCCUUGCGCGGUCGCGUCGCGUGGGCGGUGCACUUCCGGCCGGCGAACGUCAACGUCAGUUUGCCGUGAGUCAGAAAGCUGCGAGCACGGUAGGUCUCUCGGGAUCGGUAUAGGCUCGCGUGCCCAUGGCUCGAUGCAGACUGUGUUAUGUCGCAGCGCGUACCUCCCCUCGGGGCAGGCUGCUGUCUUUGUCGUUGAAUCGGUGAUGGUGCUCGACGGACGGCUUUGCCWGUGCGCCUGGGCGCGGCCGUUCAACCGAUGGGGCAAACAGACACGACGCGCUGAGGACGUUGACCGCCCAGCGACUCCAUCCGACCCGUCUUGAAACACGGACCAAGGAGUCUAACAUGUGCGCAAGUCUCAGAGCGAUCGAAACUCGUGGGCGUAAUGAAAGUGAAUGCAGUCUCGGCUGCAGAGAUGAGACGCUGCGCGCUUGUUGCAAGCGGCAUCAUCGACCGACCUAUUCUACUCUUAGAAAGGUUUGAGUUAGAGCGUACCUGUCGGGACCCGAAAGAUGGUGAACUAUGCCUGAAUAGGGCGAAGCCAGCGGAAACACUGGUGGAAGCCCGUAGCGAUUCUGACGUGCAAAUCGAUCGUCGAAUUUGGGUAUAGCGGCGAAAGACUAAUCGAACCAUCUAGUAGCUGGUUCCCUCCGAAGUUUCUCACAGGAUAGCUGGAACUCGGUGGCAGU